CAGCCGCCGCGGUAAAACGAAGGGGGCUAGCGUUGCUCGGAAUGACUGGGCGUAAAGGGCGCGUAGGCGGAUUGUUUAGUUAGGCGUGAAAUUCCUGGGCUUAACCUGGGGACUGCGCUUAAUACAGGCAGUCUAGAGUGAGGAAGAGGGUUGUGGAAUUCCCAGUGUAGAGGUGAAAUUCGUAGAUAUUGGGAAGAACACCGGUGGCGAAGGCGGCAACCUGGUCCUUGACUGACGCUGAGGCGCGAAAGCGUGGGGAGCAAACAGGAUUAGAUACCCGAGUAGUCCCUGUCUCUUAUAC
rnacentral:rRNA from 1 species